UACAGAGGUCCCAAGCGUUGUUCGGAUUUAUUGGGCGUAAAGGGUGCGUAGGCGGCGGAGUAAGUUGGGUGUGAAAUCCCGGGGCUUAACCUCGGAAUUGCAUUCAAUACUGCUUCGCUCGAGUACUGGAGAGGAGGCUGGAAUUUACGGUGUAGCAGUGAAAUGCGUAGAUAUCGUAAGGAAGGCCGGUGGCGAAAGCGAGCCUCUGGACAGUUCCUGACACUGAGACACGAAGGCCAGGGGAGCAAACGGG
rnacentral:rRNA from 1 species